rnacentral:rRNA from 1 species
AGAUUAGAGUUUGAUCCUGGCUCAGCCUUUGACUUAAAAAAAUGGAAGUCGUAACAAGGUAACCGUAAGUGGUAACAAGGUAACCGUAGAGUUUGAUCAUGGCUCAGGAAAGUGGUACCAAGGUAGCCGUAGAGUUUGAUCCUGGCUCAGGAAAGUCGUAACAAGGUAACCGUAAGUCGUAACAAGGUAACCGUAGAGUCUGAUCCUGGCUCAGGCAAGUCGCAAUAAGGUAACCGUAGGUCGUAACAAGGUAGCCGUAGAGUUCGAUCCUGGCUCAGCCCCA